AUCACACUCAAGCACCAGGAAGAUGUCUAAAGAGAGGAUGCAUGGGACUAGUGCAAGUGUGUCAAGAUUUCUACAAACACUGAAAAUGUCUUUGGUGGCUGAUAAGGCAGGCUCUCAGAGGCUUCUGACUAAGCUGCUUACCUAUAUCCUCGAAGCUAACUGGACCUUUGUUUCUUACAAGUGAUACAUCUCUGAGCUUGACAGUUGCAUGCAAACCAGUGAACUGGUCCACAGGGUAUUAGAAUCACAAAUAAAUACUCUGUCCACACAUCACAAAACUGAAAAGCUUAAUUGGCACUAUCAUAAAAAUCACAGGCUUUGAUUGUAACACCCUGGCAGUGUAUUUGUGAAAAGCUGAGUACAAUAGCAACUUUUAAUUAGGCAACCUGUUUUUGUAUGACACCAAAGCAUUUUACAAAUCCAUUCAUUUCAAGAAAAGCCAGGUAAUUAAUAGAAUUAUAGAUUCUUAGUGUUGAAAGGAAACUAUAUAGCCUCAAAAUGUUGGGACAUUCCUCUAAUUCCAAUGACCCUUAGCACUUGUUCAUUUCAGGCAGCAUUGCCAGCCAUCACUCCAUGGAUCCUCUCAUCUGGAAGUGCUCCACUUCAGAAAUCUUAGAUUCCAAGAUCCACUCUCAGAAAACAACCUCCAGACAUUUCUGCCGUCCACACAGUUGCUUCUUCUCCCUCUGGCGCACGGCCACCUGUGCUAUCUGCAGCCUCACCGGCAUUCCCUGGCCUCGCCCUCUGCACUUCAUCCUGACAGGCAUGGAGUCUCCUCCUGUCACCCCAGAGCUAUGUGGUGUCUUGAUUAGGUGACUUUGCCCAUGUUGUCAUUCAACUUAAUAUUUAUUGAUCUAUCUCUGUGAGAAUCACUUGGCUGGCCCUUUCGUCUGGAGUGUCAGCCUCCUCUCACCUGCCCCCAGGAGGCUUCCUCCUUCUUCUUUUAACUGCUUGCACAUCUUUAAGACUCAGCCUUGGAGACACGUCUUUUAAAAAGCCUUGAAUGGGCCUGGGAAGUGGCUCACACCUGUAAUCCCAGCACCUUCAGAGGCCAAAGUGGGAGGAUCACUUGAGGCCAGGAGUUCAAGACUAGCCUGGACAACAUGGUGAAAGCCCGUCUCUACUAAAAACACAAAAAUUAACCGGGUAUGAUGGCACACACCUGUAAUCCCAGCUACUCAGGAGCCUGAGGCAUGAGAAUCACUUGAACCUGGGGAGGCUGCAGUGAGCCAAGAUUGAACACCACUGCUCUCCAGCCUGGGCAACAGAGCAAGACUCUGUCUCAAGAAAAAAAAAAAAAAAGAUACCUUCUCUGACCACUCCCUCUAUUCUUCCCUUUCCCAUAACACUAAGUCAUAUGCGCCCAAAACAAUUUGUGCACAUCUCCAUCAGUGAGUGGUUUUCCAUGAUGGUCAUCCUCCCCGACUAGGCUGGUGUAUUCUAGUGUGCUCACCUUUGGGGGUCUCUACUACUGAUUAUUUGCAAGACCUAAGGCAACUUAUUUCACUUUGUAAGCUUCUGUUUCCUCAACUACAAAACCAGGUUAUUAAUAGAAAUUGUAUGUAAGGAACCUAGCACAAUGCUUGAUAUACAGUAAGUGCAAAGUAUGUUAAAUGUUUAAUAAAUUAAUGUCAUAGGAACACCAUUAGAAAACUCCUUAAAAGAAAAAUAUUUAUUUUUUAAGCACUUGUAGGGACAAGGAGCUUGUCCCCUUGUUUGAUAAUUCUAUUUAUAGUGUAACUGAAGCCAUCGUAGUUUGACUCACACUAGUUUUAUUGACAAAAAUGAGUGCCCUCUGCCCCUACUCCCAGUGUCCCCUGUUCUGCUAAAGAAUCUUGAGACUCUCUCAAGGUGCUCUGUCAUGUGUAUUCAGAAACUGGUCCCUCUGGGGCAAAGCUGUUCUCAGCUGGUGCCUGUGGCUGCCACCACUGCUGUGGCCUGAGGACAGAAGUCAUAACCCUCCUCUGCUUUGCCUCAGGGGUUGGUUGUGGACCUUUCCCCUUAAUUCCUCUCAGGACAUCAGAAGUCAAAAUAUUUGAGACACUGAUCAGAUCACAAUAAAGGUUCAGGGACAAUGGAAAGGAAACAGAAAACAGAGAAUAAGUCAGUGCCAGGCACAGGUCCUUCCCCCUCCAGGAGGAAGUGCCCUGGGGACUCAACAGUCACCUUUCCUGGGAAAUCCAGUCAGACUGACUCUAGUCCCAGCAUUCUGAUUUCCCGCCCCAUGACUGACCUCUUCUGAGGACAGCUGGCAGUGAGCAGUUCCAGUCCCUUCAGGGGAAACCCCACCUGCAUAAUCUCAGGGUGAUUCAUCGCCAGUGCAAUUCCCCAAAGCCCCAUCAUUCAGUCUUGCCUGUUGCCACUCUGUUGAUCAUGAAAAUCGUGGCUACCACAUCUAGUUUACUAAACAAUCCUUGUUCGUAGGAAGUACAGGCGUGAAAUAAUUUAUUUUUCUACAGUCACUUGCCUUCAGUUCUGCCAUGUUCACGAUCUCUCUGCUGAGUUCCCUGACAAUAUCUUGGUUAGAUCUCUAGGGUUCCAGUCACUUUCAAAGAUUAACAGCCCGAUUCGGUAUAGUCUGUGAACGCUGAAGGUCUGAGACAGGGCUCGGUUAAUUUAGAAAGUUUAUUUUGCCAAGGUUGAGGAUGCACCCAUGACACAGCCUCAGGAAGUCCUGAAGACAUGUGCCCAAUGUGGUCGGGGCACAGCUUGGUUUUAUACAUUUUAGGGAGACAUGAGACAUCAAUCAACAUAUGUAAGAAGUACAUUGGUUCCAUCUGGAAAGGCAGGACGACUUGAAGUAAAGGCAGGAAGACUCGAAGCGGGGAGGGAGCUUCCAGGUCACAGAUAGCUGAUACACAAACGGUUACAUUCUUCUGGAUUUCUGAUUAGCCUUUCCAAAGGAGGCAAGUCAGAUAUGAAUCUAUCUCAGUGAGCAGAGGGGAGACUGCGAAUAGAAUGCGAGACACGUUUGCCCUAAGCAGUUUCCAGCUUGAGUUUUCCUUAGUGAUUUUGGAAGCCCAAGAUAUUUUCCUUUCGCAAGUCCAAUUUAAAGCUUCCGUCUGGGUCCAAUGCAAUGACCAAUGUCCACUCCGCCAGCCCUGGCCAGCCCCCACCAGAGGGACUCAGGGUGUGGAGUAGCACACCUGCUCCGGCAGCAUCCUCCUCUAUUCUGUGCAGUCCUCCCAUCUGUGUGGACUAGUGAGGAGGAACAGGAGAGACAGACAAGUGUUUCUCACCUGCCUGGCCAGGGCUGGCAGCUGGUGGCAGACAUCCAAAUACUGGCUUCCUCACUGAUGCUUAUGUGAAUUUUCCAGAAGCCCCACAGAUGCCUCCCACUUCACAGUCUCUACCAUCUGCUCCUACCCUUGGUGAUUCACCCCACUGGUUUUUAUUGUUGUUGUUGUUACCAGGGUCCACUUUCCUGGCAGCCAGUUCUCUUGGGUGGGAUAUGGGUGAGACAGGCUCAAGGCUGGCUGCUUUCUAUGCGUUCCUUUGAUCUGUGAAAUCACACUUCCAUCACCAAAUGCUAAAUGGUAGGCAUGGGAGCUGCAGCACUCUACCCUUUCUCUCUGCCUCCUUCCAAUUCUCUUUUCUACUUGUCACAUUGGACAGAGGUGGGCCAGGCCGUCUACGUAUAAGCAGACAUCAAAUUGGUGAGUGAGGAGGGAGCAGGAAAAGCACCUCCUCACUCUGCAGCCCCCCCAAGGAAGCAGAUGACUCACCAACAGUCUCUCCUCUUGCCCCGAUCUGUUUAUAUGGACUGGAAGCAGGUGGUAGAGAUGAAGAUUAGGGAAGCAGAGGAAGUUCAGCCACUUCUUAACCAGCCCUGAAAGGGAUUCCUGAUCCCCAUUCAUUUACUUUUCUUAAUUGUUUGCUCCUUGACACUUCUUUGCCUCAGCUUUGGAUUCCAGUUGUCAAUUCCAGAGCAACAAGAAAAAUGCCGGCCGGGCGCGGUGGCUCACGCCUGUAAUCCCAGCACUUUGGGAGGCCGAGGCGGGAGGAUCACGAGGUCAGGAGAUCGAGACCAUCCCGGCUAAAACGGCGAAACCCCGUCUCUACUAAAAAUACAAAAAAUUAGCCGGGCGUAGUGGCGGGCGCCUGUAGUCCCAGCUACUUGGGAGGCUGAGGCAGGAGAAUGGCGUGAACCCGGGAGGCGGAGCUUGCAGUGAGCCGAGAUCCCGCCACUGCACUCCAGCCUGGGCGACAGAGCGAGACUCCAUCUCAAAAAAAAAAAAAAAAAAAGAAAAAUGCCUACCAGUGUUGUGUUGUCACUAUGAAACCCUAGACAUUGUAGUAGGGCCUUUAUACACAGAAUCUCUAUGUAAGCCUCAAAACCUUAUUUUUUGCCCUAAUUUUGUUGGUUAGGAAAUAGCAACUCGGAUAGUUCAAGUACAUUUCUCAAUCGCACAGUUAAUAGUGGUAGGCCCAGGACUUAGACCCAGUGUAUUGGACUGUAAAGACCUUCCACCCCUCUCAACUGUCUCUCAUAGAAAUUUCCUCUUGUGGUUGAGCUGAAUUCUGCACCCUUGGAACUUUAAACAUCCCAGUCCUAAUUCUGUCUCUAGAGUAACACUAAAGAAGUCUAAUGUGUUCUACCUGCCAAGAGUUUUGGAUAUUGUUUGCUCUAGAAUCUGGCAUGUGGCUGGCAUUAUUAGGAGAUUAGGUCAUUCUGGCUUUCCAUUCAAAUAUUGGAAGACAGUUACUGUCCCUAUGGUUUCUUUUCCCCAGUUAAGCACCCCUAUCUCCUUCAUCUGAUUUUCUCAUGCUUCCAGACCCUAAGCAAUAUUUUACAAACACCUUUAAAGACAGAGAGAGCCCUUGCCUUUCCAUAGCUCUUGCUAUUUCCUCAUGUUUCCUUUUCCCUUCUCCCUGUCCUACCUUCAGCUCCUAUUUUCUUCCUACUCUCUCUAUUCAGCUCAGACUUGGUGGCGAAGACCUUGAAUGAAAUCCUCCUUUCAGGCCUCCAAGCUUUCAGAUGGAGCCCAAGAUGGAGGUCAGUGGACUACUAUUUGGAGGUGAGCAUGGAGGGCUUCUCAAAUGUUUUCACCAUGAUUCAUUUCUGAUCCUUCUUUUCCAGAAUGAGUUUGCUGAGCCUACUCAUUAACUGGGAAUACCACCAUACUGGCUCUUCCUUCUCUAGGCCAGUGGCCCACAAUCUUUUUUUUAAAUAAGAUGCCUGGGCUCGCCCCCAAAAGAUAAUAAUUUAAUUUGUCUAGGAUAGCCCCCCAGGCAGAUAUAGGUUUGUGAAGCUCCCCAAGUGAAUCUAAGAUGCAGCCAGCAUAUCUGAGAUACAGCUUUAAAUGAAAUUCAGCUUGUCUCAUCCCACCACACACUCCUGAUGAGGGUCUAUUCUGAAAGCUUGUGUAGUCUCACCUAAUUUCCACAGUGGACCUCAAGCAUAUUCUACUUCAGCCCCCUCUUGAAAUGCCUCCUAGUCUCUGGGUGGAGAGAAAUUCUAGUUCUCCAUUAAUUUUCAGGGCAGUAGUGAGUGGCUUACUCUGAGACCAUGGAAUAAUCAAGUUCUUCCUGACUCCAGCCACCAGCUUUGUUCACUCUCUCAGACUCUCUUUGGCCAUCCUUUUAGGCAACCUUCCCCCUGGCCUCUGCCUUUCUGGAAGGGUCUCCCUGAAUGUCCUCAUUAGUUAUAAAACAAACACGUUGGCUGGGUGUGGUAGCCUGUAAUCCCUGUAAUCCCAGCACUUUGGGAGGCCGAGUUGGGUGGAUCACCUGAGGUCAGGAGUUCAAGACCAGCCUGGCCAAUAUGGUGAAAACCGUCUCUACUAAAAAUACAGAAAUUAGCUGGGCAUGGUGGCAGGUGCCUGUAAUCCCAGCUUCUUGGGAGGAUGAGGCACAAGAAUUGCUUGAAGCCAGGAGGCGGAGGUUGUAGUGAGCCGAGAUCACAUCAGCCUAGGCAACAGAGUGAGAUUCCGUAUGUAUAUAUAUAAAAAUUCUAAAACCCAAGAAGGCCAAUUCUCAGUGUCCGCACCUACAUACUUCCUUCCCACAAUCAUGCUAGACAGUACUAAUCAAUCAGGCACUGGAUUGUUCUGAGCCAAGUCAUGGCUUUGGCAUCCUACUCAACCCAGUGCUCCAGGCAGGCACUAUUAGCCAAUUAGAAGAGGCCUUGAAAAUGAAACGUUAAACACUCAGGGAAAAUGGCUGUAAUAAUAUCCAAGAGGGGAAUAUGAAAAGUGUCCUCCUUAGUAACUCAGAUCCUAUUUUUACACCAUUCUUAUAAAGGGGCCCUCAAAACAGAGAGAUAUAGGGACAACAUGAUCUGUGAUAACUCAUGUUUGAAUGUGAUGUGACUGGUGACUGUUUCUUGUCUUCUAUUUUGGACUCACCCAGUUCAUUCACUAAACACACAAUAACUGCCCUACAUUUUACUUGAUUAAAAAUUUUAGCUUCUUGAGAAAAGUGUGGUUCAUUGAAUGGCUAGAGAAAUGAGCAGGUCUCAUCUAAACUGGAUUAUAAAUUCCUUGAGGGUGUAUCUUUCCAAGCACACUUUUUGUCAUUUUCUGUAAUUUUGAAAUGAGUAGUACUAAAUUUAAAGCCAAGAAAUGUACAUGAAAUGCCUAUUCUGCCAUAGUGCAAUAAUUGUACUCUCUGGACAGCUCACAUUACCAAAAAAUUUAUUAUAAACGUAAUUGUUUCCAUGGGUGAUGCGGUUAGGAUCUGGAGGGUCUCUAACACAAUUCUAUCACCUUCAUUGUUAUUAUAGACAAAACGCAAAAUUGGUAUAAGGAAGAGAUAAACAAAAGCAAUCAGAGUUAAAUGAGCAGCCAGCCACACAGCAAAGCAGUGAUGUAUUCCCAGACUGUGCUAGCCACAGCUUUUUCAUUUUUCUUAUUUUGGUGUAGUUCUUGAUUGGAAUUGUUAUGAUCAAAGAUAUCUGUGUUAUGCAAAACAUGCUCCCUAAUUAGCCAAUUGUCUUUCAAGCAAUUCAUGUUAAGAAAACUUGUUUUGAGGAAGAAUUGUCUGUACUUAAUGCCAAUAAAUGAAAGUGUGGUUCACCUCAUUCUAAUCUUUUAAGAGGAUGCAGCCCAUCCUCCCAAGCCCUUCAGAGCCUCUGAUUUUGACUGUUCAUCCUAUUUUGGUUCCCUAUCUUGAGCCUCAGUCUCCCCUCAAGCCCCUGGUUAGGCAUCCUGAUUUCAGACUUAGCACCUCAGAAGCAUCUCCAGGAAACAGUCUCAGGUACUCCACCUAGCCUCAAGCAUCCUAACCAGGGAUGAGAAGAGAUCUGUCCCUGAGCACUCGCCACAGCCCCUGAAAUCUGCCAGUCUUUGCCCGAUUCUCACCUUUUAGGGGAGGGAUACUGUGUAGGUGUGACCUGUAAAGAACGCUCACCAGCAUUCUCAAUUCUUUUCAGACUAAUCUGCAAAUUACUCAUUGAUCUGAAUGAUUAGAACAAGACAGAUUCUUGUCCCUCUAGGAGGUUUGAUCCAAUCUAGUUUAGAAGAAAAGAUUUGCACUAGACUAGAAUUUCUUCCCAUCUGGUGAUUCCAUAACCUAUUCUUAUCAGUGCUUGCAACUAGAGAACCAAGUUAUUUUGGGUGAGGAUUUGUGGUUUACAGCUCAAUUCCUUCAGUGUGAACAGCAAGGCUAUUUAUAGUUAUCUCAUUUUAUUGCUUUAAUUUAUGUAUCUGAAAGAGUCUGCUCUAAUUGUGGGUGAUUAUCAGAAGGGAAAUGUGCUCUCAUGCACCUCAGGGGAUUGUUUGUGGGCCUAUGGUUUUAAAUAGCCCAUUUAUUCCCUAGUGGGUAGAAAAUCAAUUUUAUGGAUCUUCAAACAUAUAUAAUAACCAUCAUAAAUAGAAAAGUUAAAUAUUAAAGUGAUAUUAGCAUAUUGUACAUUUGCUUUACUGAUUUUUCCUUUUGGUCUGUAAACAGCUACCUAUGUUUCUACUAUGUAUUUCCAAGGGUAUUUCUAGUGUAAUACAAAACAGAGAGAUUUUGCCCCCUCUGUGGAUUGCUGGGAGUAGUUGAG
rnacentral:lncRNA from 1 species